rnacentral:rRNA from 1 species
CCGGGCAACCGGCGCACGGGUGAGUAACACGUAUGCAACCUGCCCGUCUCAGGGGGAUAAUCGUCGGAAACGGCGUCUAAUACCCCGUAUGAAGCUGGACGGCAUCGUCUGGUUUUGAAAGAAUAUCGGAGACGGAUGGGCAUGCGGCGCAUUAGCUAGUUGGCGGGGUAACGGCCCACCAAGGCGACGAUGCGUAGGGGUUCUGAGAGGAAGGUCCCCCACACUGGUACUGAGACACGGACCAGACUCCUACGGGAGGCAGCAG